UACGAAGGGGGCGAGCGUUAUUCGGAAUCACUGGGCGUAAAGCGUGCGUAGGCCGUCUAGCAAGUUGGACGUGAAAGCCCAGGGCUCAACCCUGGAACUGCUUUCAAAACUGCAAGACUAGAGUCCGGGAGAGGAUAGCGGAAUUUCCAGUGUAGUAGUGAAAUACGUAGAUAUUGGAAGGAACACCAGUGGCGCAAGCGGCUAUCUGGACCGGUACUGACGCUGAGGCACGAAAGCGUGGGGAUCAAACAGG
rnacentral:rRNA from 1 species